rfam:Rattus norvegicus chromosome 5, whole genome shotgun sequence.
GGGGAUUUAGCUCAGUGGUAGAGCACUUGCCUAGCACGCGCAAGGCCCUGGGUUCGGUCCCCAGCUCCG